GUCUUAAUUGAUUCCAUCGAGCAAGAGGUGCGUGUUGAAGAGGGAGGAGCACCUAAGUUAGAUAAUGCUUCUCUGAUUCUACCAAUUGGCCAUGAAAAUUCUAGUGCCAGAUCCUUGAGCUGAAGUUUGUAUCCUUGAGCUGAAGUUUCAAUGAAUCAUCAUUCUCAUUUUUUUGAGGCAAGAUGAGGAGGACUUGUGGAUUCAGCAAGCUAUCAUUCUGAAAUU
rnacentral:misc_RNA from 1 species